GCAGUUGUGAUAUCUUUGCAGCUUUCGUGGAGGCGAUAUGGUUCAAUCAUCUCUUCAAAGAAUUUCCAGCUGAAACAGGAAUUACAAAGGAGGCCUUGCUGCAGGAUACUGGAAAUUCCAUCUCAAUAACUGCUACACUGCAAGAGGAGAAUGGAGAACUGACAUCUCCACUGAUUCUUAUCUCCUGAGAUAUUGGCUCCUGCAAGAAUGCCAGUAGCAGCUGGGAAAAAAAUGGCAAACACUGAAAAAAAUCCUUCUCCACUUCUGAAAUCUGGUCCAAAGUUUUCUGCAAAUAUUGAUGCUGAAAAUAGAGUGAGAAUGAAAUAUAAAAACAGGAUUUGAUUCCAAAAUUACUUAAUGAAGGAGCAACAGAGAUGCCAAGAAGACACACCACAGUGAUGGUCCCUAUGAUUCUGAUGUCAUUGGACUCAUCUACCAUCAGUGUAUCACUCUCCUGAAAGUGGUUAGAAAUGUUAUGAGAACCAGUCUUUCUCUGCUCUACUGGUGGGAUCAAGUAACAAGAAUGGCUUAGUCUUCAUCUCUCCUGGGGCUAAAGAUGAUGAACUCAUCAAAACUCCAUAACAAGUGUGGAGAAUAGCCAAGAGGAAGAAAGGAAAGAGGAAUUGCCAGAGAACAGAAAUCUGAACAAGAUCUGGACAAACCUUAAAAAAUCAGAAGCUUGUCCAAAUUAUUCAGACCUCAGAAGUAGGAAGAACUGAGCAGAAUAGGGGUGAGAGCUUAUUUUCUCUCAAGUUUUCUCAUUUCACAAUUGUCUAACUCAAAAAAAGAAUGGGAGGUUUUGCUGCAUAUUGACACUUUUAGUCUCAAUUUAACUAUAGCAAUGAUAUUUCUCUUUCCAGCCAUGCCCUGAUAAGUCCGUAUUAACCUCAAAUUUGUUUAUUGAAUAUGCACCUGAGAAGUGUUGUCUGCUAUCCCUCAACACCCUUGUUCUUGAUUCUUUCUUGCUGUUUGGGUUUGUUACAGCAACAAGCAGGUAGUGCUCUGGACAUCUGAUUAACUGAACUUGCAUUUGUUUCACAUAUGUUUUUUUAAUAAUACUUAUAUUGGUUAAUGAGUAAAAUGGAGGAAUCUUGUAAAAAUUAGUAUGCAUUGAUGUAAAAUUCAAGUUUAGAAUGUGUGAGUUGUGUAGUUUGGUUAAAGUAUGAAUUGACAUUCACCAUCUGCCAUCCUAACUCUUAUGUGAAACAGAAGAGAUUUGGUAGAUCCAUACUUUUAGACAAGAUUAAGUUAUGUUUUUCUGCUUAUCAAGUACAUUGCAAUUUCCUUUUAAUAAAAAUCUUUGAGCAGGGUACAGAGCAGACAAGAAACUGCAUCUACCAAAGGAAAUAUGGUAAGUAGUUACUUGUACUUCUUCUCUUGGGCAAGGUCCGUGAAUUUAAGGACUUUCUCUUAAUAAACAGAAUUAACAGUCUGGAAAUGGAAUAGAGAAAAAUUAUAUUUUUCCUUUUCACUUACCUUUGCCAGUUGUUCAUGAAUUUCUAAUAAGCUUGGUCUGCUGAGCUUAUUUCCACUGAUGCUGCCAGUGUUUCUAUAAUAAUCAAUUUUGGGAACUGGGUCCAUUGUGUUAUGGCCAAAAGUUUGUAGAUAAUACAUUUUACUGUGAGUGUCAUAGGGAUGUAAGCUAGCUUCUGUUUUCUCCCCAUUUUGCCGGAAAUUGUCGUAUAAUUCUCUUUUUCCUGGUCUGUAACUGAUUCUUAGUCUGUUAUGUGUUUCAUCAGUAAAAGAUGUUUCUUCAUAAUGUGGCGGGUCAGAGCCUACAUCCUCUUGGGUUGUUUCAUUGUUGUCAUGGUCUUCAUUAAUUAUGUUAACUUGAAACCGAUUUGCAUUUGGAUCCAAGAAUACAUUUGGUGCAUUGUUCAUUGACAUCUUCAGGGAUGCUACAGACUUGGGUCACUGAUCCGUGUACUCUUCUGUGGCUGCAGCCACGCAGAUGCAGACACAGCAAAGGGUUUAGUGCUGUUGCAUAUCAGACCUUUGCUUCUCAAGUAAUGAAGGGCUGAGAAUUUUCUCUUGAAUUUCUAAGCAGUCUUCCUGAUGUUGGCUGCCGGCUUACUGCUAUAAAAGAUAUAAAUAAACUAUUUCUAUUAUCUUGCAUGGUUAGAUAAGUUUUCCACCACAAGCUCUCCCCUCUCUCCUGCCUCGCCAAUUAUCCAUGGGACUGUCAUCCUAUGACUUGUUGAGCUGAAGAAAAGACAGAGCUUGUGGAGAUGUUCCAUCUGUGAUGGAUGCACUUGACACCCUAACCAAACCAGCAGUAUUUUGGUAAAAGCUCCAGAGGAGGAUAAGGCCUGAGCUGUUAAAUGGGCCAAGGACUCCUCUAGCUUCAAUCUGUUUUAUGAAAACCCACAGAAGAUCAGGGUGACAUGGCGAGUAUCCAUGUACACAAGCUUGGAACAUGAUCAUGCAAUUAACACAUGGAUAGCAUGGGGCUCACUCCUCUGUAGCCUGCUCCCUCAAUCCCUUCCAGGAGAGUUGCUCCCUGUACAGUACAGAUGUUAAAUCUGUUUGAAGUACAGGAUUAGUAUUUGUCCUUUUUGAAGUACAGGAUUAGUAUUUGUCCUUGUUGAAUGUCAUGAGAUUCCUGCUGGCCUGUCUAGGUCCCCCUGAGUGGCAGCCCAUAGAGAAGUGAACACUCAGCUGUAUAAUCUUCUUCUCACCUCCUCUUUCCCACACAGAUCUCCUCAAAGAAAACACACAAGAAAACAAAAAUGCCAAGAGAAGAGGGCCUUUUAAAGUUACAAAGAAGUGUUUCAUCUUCAGGCCAGAAGAAGCAAAGACAAAUCUUCUGUCAUUGAGUUCUGCAUAUAUAGUCAUGAAGAUAACAAGAGUUCAGGACAGGAUCUGCUGAGUGCAUUUUAUACAGAAGAUUCAGUGAAGUUCUCCCAUGAUCAGUUCAUCAGUGACAGUCCAGAUCAUACACUGCACAACUGCAGGAGCACAAGCAGAAGAAUCAGCUGUGGAGAGUGAUGGAGUGUACAGAGCUCUGGAGCCCAUCCCUCCUUGAGGACUGGGUAAAAAUGGGUAACCAGCAUGAUUGUGUCUGCUGUGGCCUUGCCAGGCUGGUGUAAUUACUGCUAGGAGCUGUUAAGCAGACAGCUUAAGUUCCACUUUAAAGUGAAUAAUCUUCUGUAAGCAAGUGGAAUAAAAACAUGGACACACACCUCCUGCAGGCACCUCCUCUAAGCCACAACCAUUUGUUGUCCUCUACUUUUGCAUCCUUAGUGUACAAGUACAUACACUGAGUUUCAGAAAAUUGAGUUGGAUGAGGAGGGCAGGGGGCUACCACUUAAACAUUCACCAUUCAUGAGCCUGUCUUUUUCUUCAGCCUGUCAUGAGACACAGUAGACAUGAGAUCCUCCUCUGAAGAGUGAGAUAUCAUCUGAUCCUUAAAAUACUGGCCAUGGUACCUUUCUAGUGAUACUUUGUGUAUUUGUUUGCUUGUAGCCAUUUCUUAUCUACCAUUCUGCUGUUCAUCAAAUAAAAGCAACAUGAAGUA